AGUUCCGUCUCCAUUUCUGUUUUCAUGUUCUUGUGUUGGUGUAGAUCUGGCCAUGGGUGUGGCUGGGCACAAAAGUCUUGGAACCAUUGGUUGUGCGUCAGAGAUCAAACGGAACCAGGAUUGUGUCGGCUCUCACUGGUUCUAGUCAGGUCCCAUGUCCAACUUGGUUUUGGGCCAACCCAGAUGCAAAGACAAUUUUUUCAUAGAAAAAUAUUUCAUUGAGCAAGUUUUCAAAAGUUUAAAGACAAUCCUUGAUUGGAUUGAAUGACAAAGCAAAUAUCAUAUUGGGAAAUUCAAAAUUUCGAAUAAAAUCCUUAAUUGUAUUGAAUGAAAAAGUACAAAGAAUAUUUGUAAGAGUAGAUUGCUCCUCAAUUAUUUUUUGCUUUCAAUGUGGGAUAAAUAUACAACUUACAAGUAACUAUAUUUAUAAGGAAGAGUUGGCUCUUCAAGUCUUAUAAACUUUCAAUGUGGUGCAAGUUAUGUCUAUUUAUGAGAGGAGAAAGAUAGCUUUGAACAUAAAUUUUCAUUGUCCUACAUCGAAAGUGAAUAAGUGUAAAAAAAUUGCGCUUAUAAAAGAAGCUUUUAACCACUAAGAAGAUAUUGGCUUGGGCUUGUAUAAUGUACAAUACUUGAACCCAUUAAAGGAGUAGCUUUUUUUAUUAUUUUUUUAUUGAGUUGCUCUUUUUCUUUAUUUUUUUAAUUUCCAAUUUGAACUGGACUGGACUGUGGGAUAGUUAAUUAAAAAUUUGGCUUCCUUCCUUGUUUCUUUCUUUCUUUUAUUUCUCCCUUUUUAGGAGAGAUGGCAAGUACUGUGUUUGUAACUGUUGUUUACAUUCUUUUUUUUGAAUGCAUUUUGUUAAUUGGUAUUGGAUGACUGGAGCCCCUGUGGAAAUGUCUUUUAUUAAUAUCUUGUCUUUUCCCUCUCAAAAUGUAAAAUUUCUUUAUGAAUGUGAAUGCGCUUUUGGCAACUUAAUGUUUUAUGCAAUUUAACUGCUUAUAAUUGAUUUUAGUCUGUGUCUGCAGGAUUUUUAUUGAAGAAAAGU
rnacentral:misc_RNA from 1 species